rfam:Setosphaeria turcica Et28A unplaced genomic scaffold SETTTscaffold_12, whole genome shotgun sequence.
UGUGCAGUGCGAGGAUUUGUACGAACUCAUUUCUUGCCUUUUACCAGAAGUGACCGCGAGUCCCGCACAACACUGCACUUACCUAAUCUUUGGAAAACACUUCACCCGUUGAGGGUUC